CCUGCCGUGCACGCUGCCCCGUGCUGGUGUCGCGGGGGGGCUGUGGUGUUCCUUCUAUUCCCGGGAAGGGAAGAGGGAGGGAAGCUCCCUGACCACGUAGCUGCUGGUGCAUGGUCACACCGCUCGGUGCUUUCACACCAGAGCUCUUGCGUAAUCUAGUUUUUACCUCCUUUCAGGGAUGAAGUGGUCUCUGACUUCACUUUUUGGAAGGAGCAACUUGGGAAGAUCAGAAGCCUGGUAGAGUUGUCCUAAAGUAUAGUCUAAGCAUGCCCUAAAGUGCUGCAGCUGUGUGUGCACCAAGACGAGCAGAGGGUGUAGAGUCUAGAGACUUGCUGAGACAAGUGAAAAUUGAGAUUCCCUGUUACAGGACCCAAAGACCUAGAGAGUAGCUUGGGUACCAGGGCUGGGAUGUGCUGCAGUCACUUAUUGCAUCGCUUGGCUUUGAUCCUUGGUUGUGGUGUAAGAGUGCACAGUACAACUCAGGAAGGUGUGGUGGUGAAGUGGUUUUAAGUCCCUGGUCUAGACUGACGCCUGUGUCCCUGGCCCAGGGUAAGUUAAGAUCUCUCCAGGCUGCAAGCGCUGUCAAGCUCUUCAGGGUCACCUACAGCAGUCGCAUCCCCUGGUGCAUGCAGCCCAGCUAGCUCUUCCCUUACCGUCUGCUUUCCCUCCUCCUGUGCCCCCCAGGCAGGGAGACUGGAGGAAAAAAUGCUGGGAGGAAUGUCAAAAGGCUGUCUGUUCCCUUCCCUGUUUGAAGAUUGGGAUUCUCUUACUGGUUUUUAUUUUCUACACAGUUUUCGUAUUAAACAAGAGCAGCCUUUUUGCAAGCUCCACUGCUCCUUGGGCUGGGAGCAGGGUGAGUAUCUGCCUAGCAGAGAUUUUGUGGUAAAAUUUAUUGUUGCUGUACUUGAACAUUAACCUGAGGGAUUUUUUCCCUUCUCUCUUUAAACAAGCUUUUUUUUUUUUCCCCCCACUAAUGGAAAAUUUCAGCUUGUCUUCCACUUAACCAUAGUCCAGGCUUUUCCAGGAAAAUGGAAUGAAUCAGUAAUGCUUCCCUCCUUUGCUUCUUGUGUGCUUAGCUGAUUGUAUUAUUUUUAUUGUGGGUUUUGAUUGCAUACAGGCCUUCUUCUGCCCCCACCAAACUGGUGGUGUUUUCUAGACAAGAGAGGACAGCCAGGAUCUCUAAGGUGGUGCUUCUCCCUCCAGGGCUGUGUUACCCCCAGACCAUCAGAGUUUGGAAAUCAUGGAUUUAGGAAGAGAAUGAAGCUGAACAAGGCCAGGCAGACACUUCUAACAGCGCAGUGUUUUACUGUGGGCCGACGGCUUUUGAUUCAAGUGAUGUGCAGGGCUGAGCAUCCAGGAGCACAAGGGCAACUUUGAGUUUACCAUUUGGUGGCAGGGAGCAGCAGCUUCCAUCCAGAGCUGUCAGGGAGCCUCUUGGUGCUGCUUGGCUCACUUGCUACCACUCGCUCCACUGACCUACAGGUUUGUUCUUGGUUGUUUCACCUUUCACAUAGACUCAAUGCUCUCUAGAUUGAUGUCUUGAAGCGUGGGUUUAAAAAUCAAAUAGCAAAUGACUGCACUGUAAUGGAUGUUAUUGCACUAGACAUUAUAUUAUAGAAGUCACUGUGGUUAAGUGGAGUAUCUCUGGAAUCUUGUUUUAUCAAGACGUUUAUGUUCCCCUCCAAUUUUUGUGGAGAGUCGUUUAGAUGUUUUCCAGAUUAGAGCAUAAUGGAACUGCUAGCUAUAAAUGUUCGGAGGAAUCCAUUACACAUGGUGAUUUAGUGGUUAGUCACAAUUACUUUGGAGCUACAGUGUCAAAUUUAACACCAACCUUCAAAACCACGUAUUGUGAAAUCCGGUCAUCCUUCCUGUGAGAUGCUCCUCUAGCCUCCCAGAGAAGAAAAAGACAUUUUGUACAGCAAGAUGCAAAAGCAAUUUGGAGGGGACAGGCUGAUGCUGGAGGAACAACUCGGUGUAAGAAGCAAACCAGCAGGCAGUUUUUCCCCGUAGGGUUUUAGCCUUUUUCUUUCCGCUUAAUUAAAAUCCAGCAGACUGGUGGUGGCAGUGGGUUGGCGUGCUUGUUUCCCUUCCCGCUGGAGGUGCAGGUGGAGGCAGCGACUGAUGGAGCUGGAGCAGGACAGUCCCACGUGCCGCAAGCCCGGGUCUCCAUCCUGCAGCAGCGCACGGUGCGGGGCUCUGGCUCCUGCCGCGGGACAGCCGCCUGCUCCCGGUCGGCAAAGAGCUGGUCUCCUCGAGACCUAGCCUGGUGGUUUUGUUAAUGGUAGUGGAGACGUUCCUGCGGGUUUGUUGAAGAAAGCACCAUGGGCUGUAGAGCUAUAGCUAACAACUAGAGCAACUUUUGCAUAACGGAAGUAUCAACGGACAUUUUCACUUACCGUAACUAUAUAUAGGCACCUGCUCUAACCACAGCCUGUGAGCGGAAGCUGUUGCCCCUCUUUAGCUUUUGAAAUACCACGUUUCCCCGAGACAACUACCUGCUUGUUGCAGCUGGCUGCCCGUUCCCGUGUUUGACCCGACGGGGGUUGUGUGCGGUGUCUUGAGCUGCACCUUCUGCGACCUUCUGGGGUAGAAAUUACUGCUCUGGGUUGAGUGACCUGCAUCUUGCUGGUUUUUGUUUGCUGAGCAGAAGUUUUAUGACCUGCAGGGCUGUGUGUUUCCUUCCUCUCAGCUUGUGAGUUGAAAGUGAGUUCAUCUGAAGACUGUUGUAGCACUUUGUGUCGCAGGUUUUAAGCCCAGGGUGGAGGCUGUCAAAAUGAAAUGUGUAAACCUGAGAUUUAGAGGAUGAGCAAGUAAAUCCCAUUAAAUUUGUGUGUCGUAGAGUCUCGGAACAAAAUUUAGAUUAAGGGACGAGCUCAUGCAGUUGGGUGUCCCAAAGCUCCUCAGUCGUCUUUGGGCGUAUUUGUUUCUGCAGUGGUUGGUGCUAGAGAUGCCUGCAGGAUACCUGAAAGUGCUUCUCUGUCAGUAUUUUAAUAGCAAUGAUUUAAUAGCACAGUUUAAAAAGAACAUUAUUUGGGAUUGUUAAGACUUGGCCUUGGUUUGGAGUUCCUUCUUGAUACCUGGAGGAGAUCUUGAAAUUCUAGGUUUGUGCAAACUUGAAAGGGUCAGUGCCCUGAUCUAUAGCUGAGUUUAUUAGUAAAGCUUUGUAAAACAUCUAGGAAUUUUUAGUUAAUUCAGGUCAGACCCCCACUUCUUACCAGCUGUCCAGAAACUUGAACAGUUUAAAACCUGUAUAACACACAGAUCAUCUAAUCCUUUCAUUCCCUUUGGUUUAGAAUGUUAGUUUCAUUCAUGAGCACAAGAUAAGCUUUUAGAAGAGGUAACAUUAGAGGACUUGAGUUUUGUGUUGAAAUUAGAGUUUUCCAGGAGCUGCAGCAUAGCAGCAAGGUUGCCAGGAGUCCGAACUGCCUGGGGAAGGAGUUUGUACUUGCUGUCGUGCCUUCGGCAGCUCAUCCUCGACUUGCUCCUGGAGGCAUCUGAAGGGCACUGAAAAUGUCAAAGCGGACACGGUGACCUGGCGUGCGCUCCUGCUGCCUGUCCUCUGCGUCCUGGGGUGCUGCCAGGUUUGAUCUUGGCUUCAUCUCUGGUGCUGCCCAGUCUGGCUGCUGCGUAGCCGAAAUUAGCACACUCCCCAUCGUGUAUGCCGUGGGCUUUGCAGGGGUGAUGCUUUCAUGGCCUGACUCAUCCCUAUUAGAGACAAUGGUGCUCAUCCCCUUGAUUGAAUGAAGAGCCCCAUUCCCCGGAGGGGUGGCCUCCCUGGAAAGGAGAUAAUUCAUGCCCCGCAGCAGCUCUGUCUUAAAUCGGUUGAAGAACGGGAUCUGGUUAGCUUUAAUGAUAAGAGCUGGGGUUUUGCAGUGUCAGCUGUUUUCCACACGGUUAAUGCUGGGACCACAGAACUCAUUAGAGUUGUAUGAUGGGAUGAGAGGUUAAAAGCCAGUGUGAUACCUACAAAGUGCUCCAGCCGUACAAGAAAUGUCACUGCAUCCUCCUUAAACGCUCGUAAUUAGUAAUUCCUGAUUUGUCCUGGCUCUUCGGAGCAGUCUGCUGGGAGGACAAGCUUGUGAACAGCACUCGGCUGCCUGGCUAGGGCUCUUAAACAAGUGUGCAGUUUUUGACAUUCUUAAUUUUUAGAACUGGGUUUCCACAUCUUGCUUUAACUGUUAUCAUUAGCAAUUUGCUGGGCUUCAUUUUGGUGAUGGAGAGCAUUUCGUGAUCUCUGAAGCAUUCUGUAAUGCGGCAGUGUACAGGAGUGAUAGUACAUAAACCGGAACUGCUUUCUAAGUGUGUUUUUUAAACUUUUUUUCUUUUAAAUUAAUUCCUCUUGGCAACUCAACUGAGCAUAUGUAUCAUUCCUAACAUUUUCUUAAAAUCAAAUAUGGUAUCUACUUUUUUCACUGUUGAUUUUAAAGAACUAAUUUUUUUUUUUUUUUUUUUUUUUUAGUAGACUGUGUUCAUCCUGCUGUCAUGACUUUUUUCCUGUUUAGUUGCUUUAGUAUUGCAUUGCGUUCUGCUUUCACUUUUUAAUUGACAAUCAUAUAAUGUCCAGGGUGGGAGAGGGAAUUUCACUGUGGAAUCAGAGGCAGAGAUUUGGACCGCUGUGUUUUCAUUUAAUGAGGAAAGUACUUCAUACUUCUCUUUAAACUGUACGUGCUACAACAACAAAUGGUGUCUGCUUAAGUGAAGCCUAUCAGACAUAUAAUACACACUUCAACUCUCUCUUUAAAGAAUGGUAAAUUAGGGCAUCGAUGGCAACUACUCAAGACUUUGUGCCAUGGCACAGCCGAGGAGGAAGGUUGGUGCUGGCGUCACGGCGGGUGUGGGCUGCUGUGGGUGGUAGGGAUGCGGUCAGAGAAGACUUUGCUCCUCUGGCUCCCGAGCGGGUGGGUGAGAAGGGUCUCACCUUGGCUCGUGGACAGUUCUGUACCCUCUUCUGUGCUCCUGGGCUUUGCAUGGCAAGCUGGUCAACCUGGCGUUAGCACUGCAGCAAAAUGGCUAUAAUCAAGAUGAUUUCAAGGUUAGAAAUUUCUUCUUCCCAAUGGGUUGCGAUGCCCUUGCUGCCCUUAUGUUCCCCAUGCGUGAAUGCUUAGAUGCAGCUUGUGUGCAUUCUCUUUGCGCUGGUUGCACUGGGAGCUGGCUCAGUGUAGAGCUAUACCUGAAACCGGGCAGCAUAGCUGCUCGUGCUUCUGCCAACUUUUCGCCCCGGGUCCUGUUUAAACCACCCAGCCAAUUUUGUUAGCAGAUGAACACUUCAGCUCUGCUGAGUUAGUGUAUAAAUAGCUUUUGGUAUAGGAGUUCAGCCUGUAUAAAUGCCGUAAUGUCUUGUCUGUGAUGGUUCCUGCACUUAAUAUUUUAGGGUUCUUAGGGUAUGGCACAGACUACUAUUGAUCGCUUCUUAUAGGUGCCUGUAGUUAGCAUAAAACAGGAAAGUACAACUUGUAUUGUGGGCACUUAUUUAUAAAUAUCUCAGAGCAUCCAAGGAGCCUCGGAGGGCGCAGUUUGGGCCCCUCGGCGUGGGGCUGCGUACGUACUCAAGUCAUCGCAGCGCCUGGAGUGGGGAGUUCAGAGCCGAAACCUCUAGCCCUGCCAUCAGCAAGCACCGCUGCCGUGCACCUGGAGCUCGCUGCGUGGGUAAGGAGGCGUGAAGGAACAGCAAAGCAAGUUGCACUUUUGCAUAAUAACUAAGAGUCUCGUCUUGCCACCUGCCCAGGCAUUGUCGCUUUGAGGUCACAUUGAUGCAAAUAUGCUGUGCUGUAUGCAGGGAGAGCGUGCAUCUUUCCUGCCACUUUACCCUUUUGAAAUGCAUGCUGCACAGUCCUGGAAUUCAACUUAAUCAGAGGCAGGAAUGUUUGUACCAAGAUUGGCUGAUGUAUUUAUUUUACCCAGGAUUAAUUUAUAAACUCUAUCUCUACCUGGAGAAGUUUGAUUAGCAUUAUAAAUCCAACGUGCGAUGGGUACUGAAGGAACUUGAUCUUAAGAAAAAAAAAAGCUGGGAGAUUGGUGGGAGAAUUCAGAUUUCAGUUGCAAGGCUACCUAUGGUCCUGGAGGAGCUGAAGUUGCUAAGGUCGUGUCCCCUGAAAAAAUGUAGCCCAUUUGGGAUUUAAUUUUUUAUUUAUUACAGGUAUCCAGAACAUGCUUAACAGCAUCUGGACAUGUCUUAAUGGUUUAGAUGUGGUAACAAUAACAGUACUUGUUUUUUUUUAAAAAAAAAAAAGCAUAAAUUUAGUUGCUAAACUACAAGAUAUUGCAUUCCCUAAUAUGACCCAUGGAAAUAAAAAUGGAAAUCCCAACGAGCAGCUGUGAUUGUCGUUUCUUGUAUCUGUGAUGCACAAGAUUUUCAGCAAAUGUUAGCUGAUGAAACAGUGCCCAUGUGAACGUGCAUCUCUGCUGCAAGCCAGAUGUGUGUCUAAGCCUUGAUCAAGCUCCUUGUGGCCAUCCUGCAAAUAUUAGCAGUGCUGCUGCUUGCAGGAUUUACUUCUAUGAAGUUCAGAGCGCUGGGAUUUUCCUCCAAGGGCAGAUGCACAGCUUAGGGGAGAAAGGGAGAUCUUUUCCUGAGGAGUGGUGCCCAGUAUUGAUAAAGUUUAUUAUUGAAAUUGAUUGUAACUGCAGGCCUGUUUGAGGGCAAGGGAUAUUUUUAUAGAAUAAGAUUUUUUUUUUUUUUUUUUCUGUGUUACUCCCAGAGAAAUACUGCUUGUUGCAGCUGCCUCUAGGAUUUUGGAGUCAUUGGGGAAGGUACUGGUCUAUUUUUUUUUUGUUUGCUUUCCCAGCUGUUCUCCACUACGUGCUAAAUGGGUCUUGUAACCUAAAUGGACGCAGCUCAUGGAUGAAAGAAGGCAGCUAGAGGGAGAGAGGAAGAAGUGAGGAAAUAUUUCAUGAUGCAGCUGAAGUGAAUGAUUUUGCUGACUGGUGAGGUGGCAGGUGGCCAUCUGCUUGCUCUCCCAAUCCUUUCCAGUUGACCUUAGCUUUGUUCUUGGUGGAUUUCUCCUAGAGCCCGUCACAGAGUUGUUGGAGAAGCAUUUAUGGAGAGGGAAGACCUUCACCACAAACGGAUUCACAGGAGGUUACUCCUUUAUCUCAGACCUUGCCUCUCUUGUACCAGGUUGCUAAAGCCACUCUUGCAUCAUCUGUCCUUAUCCCAGAGCAAACGUUAAUGGACCCAGCGUCUCUGUACUGCUGACGCAGGCAGAGGGUCCUUGAAAGCAGGCAGUGACAAUGCAGAGUUGGCAUUUUCCACUAGGUCUGCUAAUUAAUUAAGGUCACAUGUUCCAGCUAUUAGUUUGGCCAUUGCUUUUCUCCAUUAAGCAGGCAGUGAAAUGCCAGGGAAGGGGAAGAGGGGUUCUCCCCUCCACAGAGCACCACCAUGAGACCCGGGUGAUGGUCGCAGGGUGCUGUUGAGCCGUGGAUAGGCCAGCCUGUUGAUGGAGCAGUACUGUUUGCGGCUCCAAAUAGGAGAAUUUGGUUUACGUGGCAGUAAAUUAUCAGAAAUUCUGCCUGCUGGAAUGUUUGCCUGAUCUUUGUAAGGGUCUGCUAUGGGAAAGGCUUGCUAGAGAGCGAGGUGUUACUAGCUAAACUUGCUAGGUGCAUACUGGCAAUGCUGAGAAGCAGGCUUUGGUAUUUUUAAAUAAGCAAUCAUUGCCCUGCUUUUAAAAAAAAAAAAAUAUUUCUAAUCAAGACUUAUUGUUGAAAUCUGGAGGACAUUCCAGUGCAGAGUACGUCACCUCCGUGAUUGUCUAGACAGGUUACCCAUGUCCCUGUUAAGCAACCUCAUUAUUUAUUUAUAGUUAUUUAUUAUAAUAAAUGUGAUUGCCUGCAGUAAGACGCUAACUCCACUGAGUCAUAUUUCACAUCGCACAGCUGUGUUGGUUGAAUUUUCA